rnacentral:rRNA from 1 species
UACGAACUGUGCGAACGUUAUUCGGAAUCACUGGGCUUACAGGGUGCGUAGGCGGCUUAGCAAGUCAGGUGUGAAAGCCCCCCGGCUCAACCGGGGAACUGCGCUUGAAACUGCUGAGCUCGAGUCAGCUAGAGGUACACGGAACUUCCAGUGGAGCGGUGAAAUGUGUUGAUAUUGGAAGGAACACCGAUGGCGAAGGCACUCUACUGGGCUAUUACUGACACUCAGAGACGAAAGCUAGGGGAGCGAAUGGG